CUCAUUAUUCAGUUCAGACACUGAAUUUGACCACAGGCUAACGAAUGGUCAGUUUACCUGUGAGUUUAUCAACAACAGAGACAGAACAUGAGCAGGAAGUCUCCCAGACUUUCAGGGGUUUUCCUGCUUGGAACCAUGAUCUCAUUGUCGCUCUCUGUGGGUGGUGGUGGUGGUGGUGGUGGGCUAAUGAGGCUUCACUGGCUCAGGACUCCCUCCCAUCCCUCUUGGAUCUUGGCAGUGUUGGUGUUUGAUUACACCUCCUGUGAGUUUGUGGCUUCAGCCAAGAGAGAAACUUCUAUUGUUUCAACCUUUCAGCUGCUGCAGGUUGUGAGGAGCGGCACAGCAGCGUCGUAGUGACCAGAGUGUUUCCACACAUCACAGAUCUAGAUCUGAAGUAUCGUACUUUGACUUGUACAAAUGUAAGAGUGUCAAACGGCCCCGGGACGGUCGUAAAGUAAUGAACCACGACAGAGUUGCCCACUUGACGUAUGAAAUAAUAAACACAGAGCAUGCAGAGACAGGA